ACACUCCUGCGGGAGGCAGCAGUGGGGAAUAUUGCACAAUGGGCGCAAGCCUGAUGCAGCCAUGCCGCGUGUAUGAAGAAGGCCUUCGGGUUGUAAAGUACUUUCAGCGGGGAGGAAGGCGAUAAGGUUAAUAACCUUGUCGAUUGACGUUACCCGCAGAAGAAGCACCGGCUAACUCCGUGCCAGCAGCCGCGGUAAUACGGAGGGUGCAAGCGUUAAUCGGAAUUACUGGGCGUAAAGCGCACGCAGGCGGUCUGUCAAGUCGGAUGUGAAAUCCCCGGGCUCAACCUGGGAACUGCAUUCGAAACUGGCAGGCUAGAGUCUUGUAGAGGGGGGUAGAAUUCCAGGUGUAGCGGUGAAAUGCGUAGAGAUCUGGAGGAAUACCGGUGGCGAAGGCGGCCCCCUGGACAAAGACUGACGCUCAGGUGCGAAAGCGUGGGGAGCAAACAGGAUUAGAAACCCCGGUAGUCCCA
rnacentral:rRNA from 1 species